CAAAUGACAUUUCAUUUGAAAAGCAAACCAAAAACUUGAAUGACCUCAAAUAGGUAAACACAAAGGCAAAGAUGAGCGGAUUUGAUACUUAGACAAACCAUUUGACAGAUAAAUUUGAGACUGAAAUGGACUCAUAUUAAGCUGCAAAAGUAGACGAGUGGACUUAUGUUUUUUUAAAAGGAAAAUCAAUCCAAUGAAGCAUCAUUAUCAGAGGAAGGUUUAGUAGAGCCACCGAUUGUGAUGCAAAGUUUUACAGAUUAUGAAAUACAUGGAGAUGGCUUUCACGGGAGGAAAUAUCGGCAGAAGGUGGUGAAGGGAAAUCCAUAUCCCAGAAGUUACUAUAGAUGUACUAAUAUCAGAUGUAAUGUUCGCAAACAUGUGGACAUCAUGCUAGCGGGUUAAGGGGGCAAUUAAAAAAAGCUAGACCACAUGAAAUACAACCGCUGCAUGUAAACCUGGACCAAGAUAUUUGCUUGACAUGCUCCACCACUGCAUCAAAAUCAGGGGUCUUCUGAAAAAUAAUAGAAUUUGUAUGUAGCCAUAAACACCACCAAGUGGCGUGCCAUAUCAGUUUCAGAUUGGUAAUGUUUUGAUUGAAGGAAAGAACCAUUUGAGAAACUAAUGAACCUUAUACCAAUAUGCUUUAUUCUUCCAUAAUUAUUUAAUCUUAGAUUGACUCUGGUUCUUUCUGAAAUUUGUGUCAUGUUUACAAGAAGCAAUGUUCAUUCAUGAAACUCCAAUUGCCACUGAUUCAAAGUGCACAAAAGUUAAUGGACAGUCAACAAAGAAGCUAUUUUGUUAAUUACUUUAGCUAUAGUUAAGAUGGACAUGCAUACUGAACAAUUUAGGUGCCAAAGCUUAUGCACAAGUUAAGUAGAUACUAUCUAAAAAGUAAUAUAAGAAAAAAAAAA